CCAAGCCAACCGCCUCCAGAGCAGCCGCCACUUCAUCGUUGUGUAUACUGGUAACGGGAGCAACGCCAAAACGAAAGAGACCGAGAGAGAGAGAGAGAGAGAAAGAGAGAGAGAGAGAGAGAGAGAGAGAGAGAGAAAGAAGGAGAAGAGACUGAGCCCAUCGAUUCACAAGGCAAUCAUAUCGAACUUCGACAAAGCGAAACGAAGGGGAAAAACCUAAAAAACAAGAUGCAACUGGAAGGAAAGAAAACAAACUGGAGAAUUGUGGUCUCUGCACUGCUGGUGGCGACACUAUUGCUGGCCGCAGUGACGUCAGCGGCGCCGGCAGACGAAGCAGGCAAAGUCGCGGUGAGAGAGAAGCGCAACUUGUUUGGGACGGAAUUCCUCUGCCACGUCGCAGAACACCUAAGGGAAUUCCUGCACUGCCAUUGCUACGAAAGACGCAAGCGACGAAAUGCGGACAGUGGAUGCGCAAAAGUGUGUGACUACUUACAGAAUGUCUGCUACACUCGCUGAACACAGAUGAGAACGACACAUCGACACACGCCUAAAGUGUCGCUACACUACUACAGCCAAGGCCGGAUUCAACUAGUGCGGGGCCUGGAGCAUAUAUAUAUGUUAUGAAGGGGUUGGGGAAUUUUUUUUUUAAACAAAAAUUAAAACACAUAAAUUUAAGUUAAUCUAAAUCUAACACAUUUGUAAUGGAUUUACUGAGAAAUAGACUAAUGUCAGCACUCAUUAUUGUAUCAGGUUUACGUGUAUACUAAAAAUAAAAAUAAAUGUUGUUUAAGCAAAA